CGAACGCUGGCGGCGUGCUUAACACAUGCAAGUCGAACGGAAAGGCCCUGCUUUUGUGGGGUGCUCGAGUGGCGAACGGGUGAGUAACACGUGAGUAACCUGCCCUUGACUUUGGGAUAACUUCAGGAAACUGGGGCUAAUACCGGAUAGGAGCUCCUGCUGCAUGGUGGGGGUUGGAAAGUUUCGGCGGUUGGGGAUGGACUCGCGGCUUAUCAGCUUGUUGGUGGGGUAGUGGCUUACCAAGGCUUUGACGGGUAGCCGGCCUGAGAGGGUGACCGGCCACAUUGGGACUGAGAUACGGCCCAGACUCCUACGGGAGGCAGCAGUGGGGAAUAUUGCACAAUGGGCGGAAGCCUGAUGCAGCAACGCCGCGCGCGGGAUGACGGCCUUCGGGUUGUAAACCGCUUUCGCCUGUGACGAAGCGUGAGUGACGGUAAUGGGUAAAGAAGCACCGGCUAACUACGUGCCAGCAGCCGCGGUGAUACGUAGGGUGCGAGCGUUGUCCGGAUUUAUUGGGCGUAAAGGGCUCGUAGGUGGUUGAUCGCGUCGGAAGUGUAAUCUUGGGGCUUAACCCUGAGCGUGCUUUCGAUACGGGUUGACUUGAGGAAGGUAGGGGAGAAUGGAAUUCCUGGUGGAGCGGUGGAAUGCGCAGAUAUCAGGAGGAACACCAGUGGCGAAGGCGGUUCUCUGGGCCUUUCCUGACGCUGAGGAGCGAAAGCGUGGGGAGCGAACAGGCUUAGAUACCCUGGUAGUCCACGCUGUAAACGGUGGGUACUAGGUGUGGGGUCCAUUCCACGGGUUCCGUGCCGUAGCUAACGCUUUAAGUACCCCGCCUGGGGAGUACGGCCGCAAGGCUAAAACUCAAAGGAAUUGACGGGGCCCCGCACAAGCGGCGGAGCAUGCGGAUUAAUUCGAUGCAACGCGUAGAACCUUACCUGGGUUUGACAUGGAUCGGGAGUGCUCAGAGAUGGGUGUGCCUCUUUUGGGGUCGGUUCACAGGUGGUGCAUGGCUGUCGUCAGCUCGUGUCGUGAGAUGUUGGGUUAAGUCCCGCAACGAGCGCAACCCUUGUUCACUGUUGCCAGCACGUUAUGGUGGGGACUCAGUGGAGACCGCCGGGGUCAACUCGGAGGAAGGUGGGGAUGACGUCAAGUCAUCAUGCCCCUUAUGUCCAGGGCUUCACGCAUGCUACAAUGGCUGGUACAGAGAGUGGCGAGCCUGUGAGGGUGAGCGAAUCUCGGAAAGCCGGUCUCAGUUCGGAUUGGGGUCUGCAACUCGACCUCAUGAAGUCGGAGUCGCUAGUAAUCGCAGAUCAGCAACGCUGCGGUGAAUACGUUCCCGGGGCUUGUACACACCGCCCGUCAAGUCAUGAAAGUUGGUAACACCCGAAGCCGGUGGCCUAACCGUUGUGGGGGAGCCGUCGAAGGUGGGACUGGUA
rnacentral:rRNA from 1 species